AAGGGUGGGGAAUUAUGCAAGUGGAUUGAGUUUCUGUUCCUGCACUCUGAUCUCCCAGUUGGUACAGCACUCAUCCUUCAGGACCGCUGGUAGGGCCAAAAGCAACUGCUGCAAGGAGAAAGCUUUGUAUACCAUCAGCAUUUUUGAGAUCUUGAAAGCAGAAUGUAUGCUGUCCAUACAAGCAGUGAUGUUCACGUGAUCUCCAGGAACAGCUAGAAAUGAGGAUGAAUGUCAUAGCUGCAGAGGCCAAUUACCAACUUCCUUCCACAUCACUCGUAUUUCAACCCAUCAGUCUUUCCAAAGCAGUAUGAAAAAGAAGCUUUCACUUCUCCUGACAACAUGAGCCAGUGAAUCCUCAUUUUAUUCCUUUCCAGCUGACCAGGAGAAGAAUGCAAAGAGCAUCAUCCAAUCAAUAUUAUGCUCCCUGAGCUAUCAUGGAUUGUGAAAUACCAAUCCCCUCAUUUCCCCCUCCCUCCACACUAAAGCAAAACAAAAUAAAUAGCUAGAACUA